CAGCCGUAAACGAUACUCGCUAGGUGUCGGCCACGGUGCGACCGUUGUCGGUGCCGUAGGGAAGCCGUGAAGCGAGCCACCUGGGAAGUACGGCCGCAAGGCUGAAACUUAAAGGAAUUGGCGGGGGAGCACCACAACGGGUGGAGCUUUGCGGUUUAAUUGGAUUCAACGCCGGAAAUCUUACCGGGACCGACAGCAACAUGAAGGCCAGGCUGAAGACUUUGCCGGAUUAGCUGAGAGGAGGUGCAUGGCGUAGUCGUGU
rnacentral:rRNA from 1 species